UACGGAGGGAGCUAGCGUUAUUCGGAAUUACUGGGCGUAAAGCGCACGUAGGCGGCUUUGUAAGUUAGAGGUGAAAGCCCGGGGCUCAACUCCGGAACUGCCUUUAAGACUGCAUCGCUUGAAUCCAGGAGAGGUGAGUGGAAUUCCGAGUGUAGAGGUGAAAUUCGUAGAUAUUCGGAAGAACACCAGUGGCGAAGGCGGCUCACUGGACUGGUAUUGACGCUGAGGUGCGAAAGCGUGGGGAGCGAACAGG
rnacentral:rRNA from 1 species